rnacentral:rRNA from 1 species
UGAGGAAUAUUGGUCAAUGGGCGCAAGCCUGAACCAGCCAUCCCGCGUGCAGGAAGACGGCCCUAUGGGUUGUAAACUGCUUUUCCAGGGGGAGAAUUUUUCUGUCGUGACAGGAAUUGACGGUACCCUGGGACUAAGCAUCGGCUAAAUCAGUGCCAGCAGCCGCGGUAAUACGGAGGAUGCGAGCGUUAUCCGGAUUUAUUGGGUUUAAAGGGUGCGUAGGCGGAUAGAUAAGUCAGUGGUGAAAACCUGCAGCUUAACUGUAGACUUGCCGUUGAUACUGUCAGUCUUGAGUAUGGUCAACGUAGGCGGAAUUUGUAAUGUAGCGGUGAAAUGCUUAGAUAUUACACAGAACACCGAUUGCGAUAGCAGCUUACUGUGCCAUUACUGACGCUGGUGCACGGAGGCGUGGGGAUCGAACA